rnacentral:snoRNA from 1 species
AGUAUUCAAAGAGGGUUGUGGGGAGUUGAAACCAAGAGCUCUUAACUCUGUGACCAAGGACUGACAUUCUCCACAGGAUGUCAUAAUCACUUGGUAUUGCUUCCAGAGAAGAUAUGACA